AUACGUAGGUGACAAGCGUUAUCCGGAUUUACUGGGCGUAAAGGGCGUGUAGGCGGUCUUGCAGGUCAGAAGUGAAAUUCCUGAGCUCAACUCGGGCGCUGCUUCUGAAACUGCAGGACUUGAGUGCUGGAGGGGAUAGCGGAAUUCCUAGUGGAGCGGUAAAAUGCGCAGAUAUUAGGAAGAACACCGGUGGCGAAGGCGGCUAUCUGGACAGGAACUGACGCUGUGGCGCGAAAGCGUGGGGAGACAACAGGAUUAGAUCCCCGUGUAGUCCACGCCGUAAACGUUGAAUACUAGGUGUAGGGGGUAUCGACUCCCUCUGUGCCGCAGUUAACACAAUAAGUAUUCCGCCUGGGGAGUACGGCCGUAAGGUUGAAACUCAAAUUAAUUGACGGGG
rnacentral:rRNA from 1 species